GUGAGGAAUAUUGCGCAAUGGAGGCAACUCUGACGCAGCCAUGCCGCGUGCAGGAAGAAGGCGCUACGCGUUGUAAACUGCUUUUAAUCGGGAAGAAACCCCAGGACGUGUCCUGGGUUGACGGUACCGGAGGAAUAAGCACCGGCUAACUUCGUGCCAGCAGCCGCGGUAAUACGAAGGGUGCAAGCGUUAUCCGGAUUCAUUGGGUUUAAAGGGUGCGUAGGCGGAGCGUUAAGUUAGUGGUGAAAUCCUGCAGCUUAACUGUGGACUUGCAAUUGAUACUGGCGCUCUUGAGUGCGCUUGAAGUGGGCGGAAUGUGCCGUGUAGCGGUGAAAUGCUUAGAUAUGGCACAGAACACCAAUAGCGAAGGCAGCUCACUAAGGCGAUACUGACGCUGAGGCACGAAAGCGUGGGGAUCGAACAGGAUUAGAUACCCUAGUAGUCC
rnacentral:rRNA from 1 species